GAUGAAGAACGCAGCGAAAUGCGAUAAGUAAUGUGAAUUGCAGAAUUCAGUGAAUCAUCGAAUCUUUGAACGCACAUUGCGCCCGCCAGUAUUCUGGCGGGCAUGCCUGUUCGAGCGUCAUUACAACCCUCAGGCCCCCGGGCCUGGCGUUGGGGAUCGGCGGAGCCCCCCGUGGGCACACGCCGUCCCCCAAAUGCAGUGGCGGUCCCGCCGCAGCUUCCAUCGCGUAGUAGCUAACACCUCGCGACUGGAGAUCGGCGCGGCCACGCCGUAAAACACCCAACUCUUCUGAAGUUGACCUCGAAUCAGGUAGGAAUACCCGCUGAACUUAAGCAUAUCAAUAAGCGGAGGA
rnacentral:misc_RNA from 1 species